GGGCGUAAAGAGCUCGUAGUGGUUUGUCGCGUCGUUUGUGUAAGUCCACAGCUUAACUGUGGGACUGCAGGCGAUACGGGCAUAACUUGAGUGCUGUAGGGAGACUGGAAUUCCUGGUGUACGGUGAAAUGCGCAGAUAUCAGGAGGAACACCGAUGGCGAAGGCAGGUCUCUGGGCAGUAACUGACGCUGAGGAGCGAAAGCAUGGGUAGCGAACAGGAUUAGAUACCCUGGUAGUCCAUGCCGUAAACGGUGGGCGCUAGUGUGAGUCCCUUCCACGGGAUUUGUGCCGUAGCUAACGCAUUAAGCGCCCCGCCUGGGGAGUACGGCCGCAAGGCUAAAACUCAAAGGAAUUGACGGGGGCCCGCACAAGCGGCGGAGCAUGUGGAUUAAUUCGAUGCAACGCGAAGAACCUUACCUGGGCUUGACAUGUAGCGGAUCGCCGCAGAGAUGUGGUUUCCCUUGUGGUCGCUAUACAGGUGGUGCAUGGUUGUCGUCAGCUCGUGUCGUGAGAUGUUGGGUUAAGUCCCGCAACGAGCGCAACCCUUGUCUUAUGUUGCCAGCACGUGAUGGUGGGGACUCAUGAGAGACUGCCGGGGUUAACUCGGAGGAAGGUGGGGAUGACGUCAAAUCAUCAUGCCCCUUAUGUCCAGGGCUUCACACAUGCUACAAUGGUCGGUACAGCGCGUUUGCUACCUUGUGAGGGGAUGCUAAUCGCACAAAGCCGGCCUUAGUUCGGAUUGGGGUCUGCAACUCGACCCCAUGAAGUCGGAGUCGCUAGUAAUCGCAGAUCAGCAACGCUGCGGUGAAUACGUUCCCCGGGCCU
rnacentral:rRNA from 1 species